AAGAGACCUAGAUUCCACUGUCAAAGUAAUGAAUUGAUGCCCUAGCAAUCUCCAAUGGUGCCAAAAAUGAGCUUAUAUUUGGAAAGAAAACUACCUGGGAAAAUACUUUCUACCCUGCCAUAAACCCUGGACACUUAGGAGAAAGAUGGAAGACACUGGGAUCAAAGCAAAUCGAGGAAAAAAUUCAAGUGAAGAGACUGGAAAUUAAGAGAGUCCAUACUGGAUGAUUUUUCAGUAAAGAAUUGCGCAAUACAAAGGGUGAGAUACCUCCUUUAUUCUUUCUUCCUGAAAUACUACUUGAUUACUCCAGAAAAUUAAUGCACAAGAAGUGGACAACUACAAAAAGG
rnacentral:lncRNA from 10 species